rnacentral:lncRNA from 1 species
GCAGCGAAAGGCUAUUACUAAAUACUUUUUGUUACCGGAGGGUGCAUCAAUUGGCGCGGUGGCGGCUGCCAAGUGCGCGAGCUGGUCAUGGUGCAGCAAGGGCUUUCCAAGCGCGGCAACCGGCUCUUCCUCACCCCCUGCCAGGGAGCGGGAUGCCACUGCAAGAACCCAAAUCCAAGCCUGACCCGCAGGCACAGUCUUGCAGGCUCUUGCUCCCUGUGCCCGGAAGCAGUUUGAGACCGGGACUCUCCCCAGGGCCAUCUGGGGCUGCCCUGGACACUGCAGGUGGAAAAUGGCCCGCGUCCCAUGGACAAGACUUCGGAGCUGUUGCUGUUUCUGCUGCUACAGCUUAGGCUAGUUGCCUGCAGAACUUACCUGGACUGUGAUUUAAGCUAGAUGCCUGCAGAACUUACCUGGACUGUGAUUUACCUGGACUGUGAGUUAAUCUAUUGAGACACUACUUUACCUGGACUGAGACAACAAACUAUAAUCUACAACAAAUUGUAACUCGGUAUCUUUGCAAAUGGUGUCAUUGCUGAUAUAAUUUUUCCAAGGGCUUCUUGCAUGGAGCCAUCAAGUGG